AGGACGAACGCUGGCGGCGUGCUUAACACAUGCAAGUGGAGCGACGAACCAGGGCUUGCCCUGGGGGCAGAGCCGCGAACGGGUGAGUAACACGUGGGUUACCUGCCUCGAUGACCGGGACAACCCGAGGAAACUCGGGCUAAUACCGGAUGUGCCCGCAAGGGGAAAGGAAGCUUCGGCCUCCGCAUCGAGAUGGGCCCGCGGCCCAUUAGCUUGUUGGUGAGGUAACGGCUCACCAAGGCUUCGAUGGGUAGCUGGUCUGAGAGGACGAUCAGCCACACUGGGACUGAGACACGGCCCAGACUCCUACGGGAGGCAGCAGUGGGGAAUCUUGCGCAAUGCGCGAAAGCGUGACGCAGCAACGCCGCGUGGGGGAAGAAGGCGUUUCGGUUGUAAACCCUUUCAGUUGGGACGAGCUUCGCCGGUGAAUAGCCGGCCGGAGUGACGGUACCUUCACAAGAAGCACCGGCUAACUACGUGCCAGCAGCCG
rnacentral:rRNA from 1 species